CCGCCCUAGUUCUAACCAUAAACGAUGCCAGCUAGCGAUCCGCCGAAGUUCCUCCGAUGACUCGGCGGGNGGAUAACUGUGGUAAUUCUAGAGCUAAUACAUGCAAACCAGAGUUCCGACCAGAGAUGGAAGGAACGCUUUUAUUAGAUCAAAACCAAUCGGUGGCGGGUUCACUCGUCCACCGUUUACCUUGGUGACUCUGAAUAACUUUGUGCUGAUCGCACGGUCUCGCACCGGCGACGCAUCUUUCAAAUGUCUGCCUUAUCAACUGUCGAUGGUAGGUUCUGCGCCUACCAUGGUUGUAACGGGUAACGGGGAAUCAGGGUUCGAUUCCGGAGAGGGAGCCUGAGAAACGGCUACCACAUCCAAGGAAGGCAGCAGGCGCGCAAAUUACCCACUCCCGGCACGGGGAGGUAGUGACGAAAAAUAACGAUACGUGACUCAUCCGCGGCCCCGUAAUCGGAAUGAGUACACUUUAAAUCCUUUAACACGGAUCCAUUGGAGGGCAAGUCUGGUGCCAGCAACCGCGGUAAUUUCAUCUCCAAUAGCGUAUAUUAAAGUUGUUGCGGUUAAAAAUCUCGUAGUUCAAUCUGUGUGCCACGCUGUCGGUUCAUCGCUCGCGAUGUUUAACUGACAUGAUUGUGGGACGUCCUACCGGUGGACUUAGCCCGUAAGGGCGGUCCAGCUAAUAUCCCAUCGCGGUGCUCUUUACCGAGUGUCGAGGUGGGCCGGUACGUUUACUUUGAACAAAUUAGAGUGCUCAAAGCAGGCUAUGUUCGCCUGAAUACUGUGUGCAUGGAAUAAUGGAAUAGGACCUCGGUUCUAUUUUGUUGGUUUUCGGAACCCCGAGGUAAUGAUUAAUAGGGACAGAUGGGGGCAUUCGUAUUGCGACGUUAGAGGUGAAAUUCUUGGAUCGUCGCAAGACGGACAGAAGCGAAAGCAUUUGCCANAGGAACGCUUUUAUUAGAUCAAAACCAAUCGGUGGCGGGUUCACUCGUCCACCGUUUACCUUGGUGACUCUGAAUAACUUUGUGCUGAUCGCACGGUCUCGCACCGGCGACGCAUCUUUCAAAUGUCUGCCUUAUCAACUGUCGAUGGUAGGUUCUGCGCCUACCAUGGUUGUAACGGGUAACGGGGAAUCAGGGUUCGAUUCCG
rnacentral:ncRNA from 1 species